rnacentral:rRNA from 1 species
UACGUAGGGUGCAAGCGUUAAUCGGAAUUACUGGGCGUAAAGCGUGCGCAGGCGGUUUUGUAAGUCUGUCGUGAAAUCCCCGGGCUCAACCUGGGAAUUGCGAUGGAGACUGCAAGGCUAGAAUCUGGCAGAGGGGGGUAGAAUUCCACGUGUAGCAGUGAAAUGCGUAGAGAUGUGGAGGAACACCGAUGGCGAAGGCAGCCCCCUGGGUCAAGAUUACGCUCAUGCACGAAAGCGUGGGGAGCAAACAGG